UAAAUAUUUUCUUUGUAUAAAUGACUUUUAACAUUUGUACAAUAUUAAUAUUUAAA
rnacentral:pre_miRNA from 1 species